UAUGUAGGGUGCGAGCGUUAAUCGGAAUUACUGGGCGUAAAGCGUGCGCAGGCGGUUCGCCAAGUCAGGUGUGAAAUCCCCGGGCUUAACCUGGGAAUUGCGCUUGAAACUGUCUGGCUAGAGUGUGGGAGAGGGAAGUGGAAUUCCUGGUGUAGCGGUGAAAUGCGUAGAUAUCGGGAGGAACACCUGAGGCGAAGGCGGGCUACUGGGCCGAUACUGACGCUGAUGUGCGAAAGCCAGGGGAGCGAACGGG
rnacentral:rRNA from 1 species